rnacentral:rRNA from 1 species
UCGAACGAUGAAGCCCAGCUUGCUGGGUGGAUUAGUGGCGAACGGGUGAGUAACACGUGAGUAACCUGCCCUUAACUCUGGGAUAAGCCUGGGAAACUGGGUCUAAUACCGGAUAGGAGCGCCUACCGCAUGGUGGGUGUUGGAAAGAUUUAUCGGUUUUGGAUGGACUCGCGGCCUAUCAGCUUGUUGGUGAGGUAAUGGCUCACCAAGGCGACGACGGGUAGCCGGCCUGAGAGGGUGACCGGCCACACUGGGACUGAGACACGGCCCAGACUCCUACGGGAGGCAGCAGUGGGGAAUAUUGCACAAUGGGCGAAAGCCUGAUGCAGCGACGCCGCGUGAGGGAUGACGGCCUUCGGGUUGUAAACCUCUUUCAGUAGGGAAGAAGCGAAAGUGACGGUACCUGCAGAAGAAGCACCGGCUAACUACGUGCCANCNNCCGCGGUAAUACGUAGGGUGCGAGCGUUAUCCGGAAUUAUUGGGCG